rnacentral:misc_RNA from 1 species
CGCAUUUGCAAGGUUUUUGAAUAAUUUCUAUCGAAUUCUUUUUCUUUGAAGAUUCUCCACCGGUAUAACAUUUUGGACUGGCAUUUGUAUUUGAUAAAAUAUUACCAAUGCUACCGUAUAACAUGGCUAAGCGCACUGCAAAGAUAACUUUUAUAUUAUCAUUGUCUGAAUUGUAUGUAUUGGGAGAAAGAUUAUUUUUUAUUAAUAAUCGAUACUGUAAUUUAUUUCUAUAUUAAACGAAUUUUCUUCAGUGUUUAUUGUUAUAUUUUUGUAUGAUUGUAUUUUUUAUUAAUUGUGCGGCCUAGCUUAUUCCAUAGGGACGGUCGUGCUUCUGUGAAACACUCGUUAUCUUAGUUUGAUACCUUAAAUCUAUAAUGCAUUGGAGUAUUCUCGUAAAUUUUGAAUUCACU